rnacentral:tRNA from 1 species
GAUGUAGCCAAGGUGGUCAAGGCAACGGACUUUGACUCCGUCAUCCGCAGGUUCGAGUCCUGCCAUC